rnacentral:rRNA from 1 species
AUACGGAAGGUCCGGGCGUUAUCCGGAUUUAUUGGGUUUAAAGGGAGCGCAGGCGGAGAUGCAAGCGUGACGUCAAAUUUCGGGGCUCAACCCCGUCUCGCGUCGCGAACUGCGUCCCUUGGUUGCGGGAAGGGGAGGCGGAACUCGUGGUGUAGCGGUGAAAUGCAUAGAUAUCACGAAGAACUCCGAUCGCGAAGGCAGCCUUCCGGCCCGUCAACGACGCUCAUGCUCGAAGGUGCGGGUAGCAAACAGGAUUAGAUACCCUGGUAGGCCGCACAGUAAACGAUGGACACCCGCGGUUUGGCCUGUAUGGCUGAGCCGCCAAGCGAAAGCGUUAAGUGUCCCACCUGUGGAGUACGCCGGCAACGGUGAAACUCAAAGGAAUUGACGGGG